rnacentral:rRNA from 1 species
GAUGAACGCUGGCGGCGUGCCUAAUACAUGCAAGUCGAGCGAACAGACGAGGAGCUUGCUCCUCUGACGUUAGCGGCGGACGGGUGAGUAACACGUGGAUAACCUACCUAUAAGACUGGGAUAACUUCGGGAAACCGGAGCUAAUACCGGAUAAUAUAUUGAACCGCAUGGUUCAAUAGUGAAAGACGGUUUUGCUGUCACUUAUAGAUGGAUCCGCGCCGCAUUAGCUAGUUGGUAAGGUAACGGCUUACCAAGGCAACGAUGCGUAGCCGACCUGAGAGGGUGAUCGGCCACACCGGAACUGAGACACGGUCCAGACUCCUACGGGAGGCAGCAGUAGGGAAUCUUCCGCAAUGGGCGAAAGCCUGACGGAGCAACGCCGCGUGAGUAAUGAAGGUCUUCGGAUCGUAAAACUCUGUUAUUAGGGAAGAACAAAUGUGUAAGUAACUAUGCACGUCUUGACGGUACCUAAUCAGAAAGCCACGGCUAACUACGUG